UAUUGGACAAUGGGCGCAAGCCUGAUCCAGCCAUUCCGCGUGCAGGAUGAAGGCCCUCGGGUUGUAAACUGCUUUUGUACGGAACGAAAAGGCUUCCUCUAAUACAGGGAGCUCAUGACGGUACCGUAAGAAUAAGCACCGGCUAACUACGUGCCAGCAGCCGCGGUAAUACGUAGGGGACGAGCGUUGUCCGGAGUUACUGGGCGUAAAGCGCCCGCAGGCGGUCCGCUCAGUUUGCGCUGACAGCUCCUGGCUUAACUGGGAGAGCGGUGCGAAGACGGGCGGACUUGAGGACCAGAGAGGGACAUGGAACUCCGGGUGUAGUGGUGAAAUGCGUAGAUAUCCGGAAGAACACCAAAGGCGAAGGCAGUGUCCUGGCUGGUACCUGACGCUCAGGGGCGAAAGCUAGGGGAGCGAAC
rnacentral:rRNA from 1 species